rnacentral:rRNA from 1 species
GACGAACGCUGGCGGCGUGCUUAACACAUGCAAGUCGAACGGAAAGGCCCCUUUGGGGGUACUCGAGUGGCGAACGGGUGAGUAACACGUGAGUAACCUGCCCUUGACUUCGGGAUAACUUCAGGAAACUGGGGCUAAUACCGGAUAGGAAUCCUUGCUGCAUGGGGGGGGUUGGAAAGCUUCGGCGGUUUUGGAUGGACUCGCGGCUUAUCAGCUUGUUGGUGGGGUAGUGGCUUACCAAGGCUUUGACGGGUAGCCGGCCUGAGAGGGCGACCGGCCACAUUGGGACUGAGAUACGGCCCAGACUCCUACGGGAGGCAGCAGUGGGGAAUAUUGCACAAUGGGCGGCAGCCUGAUGCAGCAACGCCGCGUGCGGGAUGACGGCCUUCGGGUUGUAAACCGCUUUCAGCAGGGGCGAAGCUUGUGGUGACGGUACCUGCAGAAGAAGCACCGGCUAACUACGUG